rnacentral:lncRNA from 1 species
CUUGAUAUUUGUGGAUUAUUGUAUGCCAGAGAGUAGAAGAGUAGAUGUGUAAAAUGUAAUACUUGUAGGGAAUUGUUAGGCUUAGUUGAAUGUUAUUACUUCAUCAAGCAGAAAUGUGAGAUUAUUAAAAGCACAGAACUUGGAGUCACACACAGCCAUGUUCAAAUCCUGGCUUUUUCUUUUGUCAACUGUGUGACUUUAGGCAAAUCACAAAUUUCUGCCUCAAUUUCCUCAUCUGUGAAGAAACCAUAAUAAUAUUGGCUUAUUGCUUGUUUAAAGGAUUAAAUGAGAUCAGGGACAGUAUAGCAGAAUUAUCCCUUGUCAUGAAUAAGAUUUGUGUUACUAUGUUAUCUUAAAAAUGUUUGUUUUUCACACAAGUAUGAAUAGUGAGGAAUGAUGAAUAGAAACAUCUGGGAGAUUUGGAAAUAGGCACUGAAAAACAGUAUUUAUUUUUCAUUUGUCUGUUGUGAGAUAACUUUAAUGUGCUGCCUUACAUAGCUGCCCCCUGUCUUGUUUCUGAAAUAUUUUACAGGUUAGAGUGGGACCAUGUGGACCACUUGAGAAAUAAAAUAGGUUCAAGGUUUGUUAUAAAACCAUUUUCUGUCUUUGUUGGCAUUGCAUAUGUUGCUUUCUGUUAGACCAGAAGAAUAAAAGUGUUAGAUUUUCUAAUAAGAGCUUCUGUGAUUGAGGAAGAUAGAGUGCUCUUUUUAUGGAUAAAAUAUUUCAGUAUGUUUGGGUUUGUUUUGUUUUGUUUUGUUUGUUUUGUUUGUUUGUUUGUUUUACUUAGGGCCACACCCGCAGCAUAUGGAAGUUCCCUAGGUAGGGAUUGAAUCAGAGCUGUAGCAGCCGGUCUACACCACAGCCAUAUCAAUGCAGGAUCUGAGCCACAUCUGUGACCUACACUGCAGUUCACAGCAACGCUGGAUCCUUAACCUACUGAGCAAAGCCAGGAAUCAAACCUGCAUCCUCACAGAUACUAGUCAGGCUUGUUACUGCUGAGCCACAAUGGGAACUUACUUCAAUAUGACUUUAUUUCAAAUCUAAUUAGAGCUUUAUUGUAACAAUGUCUAUAGUUUCAAUUAUUAGCACCCAAAGUUCCAGAUGAUAGUCUCAGAUGAUUUAUUUGAGCAUACUUCCUACUUGAAGCAGUUUUUCUCUGAAAUUAGAUCAACAAACUAAAAAACAAACAAACAAAAAAAACCUCUUUCCUUUUAGUACUGAUAUAUAUUAGAGCACUUGAGACUGAAUCUUUUCAGAAUUUGUUUUGUUUUGUUUUUGAGAAUUAAGUGUCAUUUGGGGAAAAAUUAGGACUUAAACCCAGGAAACAGCAUCUCACAUAGCCCUGAGAAACUGCCCCUAGGUGGUAAGCAGGGAGCUGGGAUAUAUGAGUUUUUUCAACAAAAGGAAGGUAGGAUGAACAAAAGAUUCUUUUGGAAUAUGUAAAGGUCUGAGCUUACUGGAAUCACUCCUUUGAUACGCACUGCAGCUAUGGGACCAGUAUUCUUUGCUUCUUUCCUCAGUUCCCUCAGGGUUCACUGGUCCACUCUUGGGAAUGCCUGCAUAUGCAGAGAACCAUGACAUCUUUUGUUUUGUCCACUUAACUAUAGCCCAGGAGCCAAUAUUCCUGACAGUUCUGAAGUACCACCCCAAAAAGGAAAGGGGGAAUACCAAGAUAUAAGUCAUAAAGAUGAACCUUGUAAGAACUUGGAUGAAUCUUUUAAGAAUAUAAAAUAGGAAAAAAACAGUCUUUUCAAAAAGUGGUGUGGGGAGAACUGGAAAGCCGCAUGUAAAUCAAUAAAACUGGAACAUACCCUCAUGCCAUACACAAAAAUAAACUCAGAAUGGCUUAAAAACCUAAACAUAAGACAAGAUACCAUCAAACUCUUAGAGGAUAACGUAGGCAAAAUGUUCUCUGACAUCAGCCUUAUAGAUAUUUUCUCAGGUCAGUCUCCCAAGGCAGCAGAAAUAAAAGCAAAAAUAAAGUAAUUGGACCUAAUCAAACUGACAAGCUUUUGCACAGCAAAGGAAACCAUAAAAACCCAGAAAAGACAACCUACAGAAUGGGAGAAAAUAGUUUCAAAUGAUGCAACUGACAAGAGCUUAAUCUCCAAAAUAUGCAAACAACUUAUACAACUCAACAGCAAAAAAACCAACAACCCAAAUGAAAAAUGGGCAAAAGACCUGAAUAGACGUUUCUCCAAAGAUAUACAGAUGGCCAGAAGCACAUGAAAAAAUGCUCAACAUCACUGAUUAUUAGAGAAAUGCAAAUCAAAACUACUAUGAGGUACCACCUCACACCAGUCAGAAUGUCCAUCAUUAACAAAUCAACAAAUAACAAAUGCUGAAGAGGGUGUGGAAAAAAGGGAACCCCCCUACACUGUUGGUAGGAAUGUAAGCUGGUACAACCACUAUGGAGAACAGUAUGGAGUUACCUCAGAAAACUAAAUAUAGAACUACCAUAUGACCCAGUAAUUCUUUCUUGGGCAUAUAUCCAGAGAAAACUUUUCUUGAAAAAGACACAUGCACCCAUAUGUUCAUUGCAGCACUAUUCAGAAUAGCCAAGACAUGGAAACAACCUAAAUGCCUAUCAACAGAUGAAUAGAUUAAGAAUAUGUGGAAUAUAUACACAAUGGAAUACUACUCAGCCAUAAAAAGAACACAGUAAUGCCAUUUGCAGCAACAUGGAUGGAACUAGAGACUCUUCUACUAGGUGAGGUACUUCAGAAAGAGAAAGCGAAAUACCAUAUAAUAUCGCUUUUAUCUGGAAUCUAGUAUAUGGCACAAACGAACCUCUCCACAGAAAAGAAACUCAGGGACUUGGAGAAUAGACUCAUGUUUGCCAAGGGGGAGGGGGAGGGAGUGGGAUGUACUUGGAGUCUGGGGUUGAUAGAUGCAAACCUUUGCUUCUGGAGUGGAUAAGCAAUGAGAUCCUGCUGUAUAACACAGGGAAAUAUAUCUAGUCACUUGUGAUGAAACAUGAUGGAGGAUAAUGGAAGAAAAAGAAUAUAUAUUUAUGUAUGACUGAGUCACUUGUUGUACAGUAGAAAUUGAUAGAACACUGUAUACCAACUAUGAUGAAAAAAAUACAAAU